AUAUUUUUUGAGAGUCACAUUAUUCAAAUCAAAUAUGAGAAAUUAAUUUAUCCCGAAGUCUGAGUGACUUGGAAUAACUUACCUUUAUGUAAUGAAUAACAGUGCUCGUCCGAUUUUUUUUCAAUUCUGAACUUACUGUCUCUUUCAACAAGCUCCAUUUCAUGAUACAGGGGAAGCCUCUGACCAGGAAAACUGAGAUUUUUGCUGUGUUUACGCCGAUUAGCUAAUCCAUACAAACCUAACAGAUCACUCGAAAAGCCCCCAUUCUUCCUACUAACCUGAGCGUGAAGAUCCUGUUCAAUAGCCCCUUUUAGCAAGUUUAGUCCCAUGAACUAAAACUGCUGUGACUAUAAACCGUCGUCUGUGCACUGCAUUACACCUCAAAUGGAGAAGAGUGGAUUAAAAACUUACUUAUAGACCAUAGAUGAUCGAACGGAGAACCUAGCAAUAUCAGUGCCAUGGACCACUGGAUUACGAUAUUCCAAUGAAGGAUGGAGUCUAUAGGCUCUAUAUAUUGGGUAGAAUGAAUAAUUAAUUUCCCAAUUGCUUCCUGGUAAUGGGUCAUGCUACAUCUGUACGGGAACAGUAUAUUAUUUGAACCAUGAAACGAAUACGGAGGUCGAUGUGGCGCAUUACAAUGUACUGAGAAGAGAGAAGCUCAGAGGGCCUUACAAACCGAUACUGG